GGAGCCUUGGCGCAAUGGUAGCGCGUUGGUUUUCGGCACCAAAGGUUGUGGGUUCGAUCCCCAUGGGCUUCG